UUUUCUUAAACUUACAAUUCCAAUUCUAUAGUCAUGAAAUUUACAAAUAUAAAUCUUUAAGUUAAGUUCAGAAAGUUACCUUCCACUUCUAUUUCUCCUAUUAAAAUAUUUUCCAACACCUUUAGCUUCACUCGAAUGGAAAGACAGACCCACGAGUUUCGUUCUCCUUCUCGAUCUUCACAAAUAGUUGCAGCAGCUUCCUUCAACAAAGACUCCAAAUAGGGUUAGGACUUC
rnacentral:lncRNA from 1 species